rnacentral:rRNA from 1 species
AACGAACGCUGGCGGCGUGCCUAACACAUGCAAGUCGUGCGAGAAAGUUCCUUCGGGAGCGAGUAAAGCGGCGCACGGGUGAGUAACACGUAGGUAACCUGCCCCCCAGUCUGGAACAACUAGAGGAAACUCUAGCUAAUGCCGGAUGAGACCACGAUCCCUUCGGGGUUGCGGCCAAAGAUGGCCUCUACUUGUAAGCUAUCGCUGAGGGAUGGGCCUGCGGGCCAUUAGCUUGUUGGUGAGGUAACGGCUCACCAAGGCUGUGAUGGCUAGCUGGUCUGAGAGGAUGACCAGCCACACUGGGACUGAGACACGGCCCAGACUCCUACGGGAGGCAGCAGUGGGGAAUAUUGCGCAAUGGGCGAAAGCCUGACGCAGCGACGCCGCGUGGGGUGAUGAAGGCCUUCGGGUCGUAAAGCCUGUCGCAGGGAAGAAUAAGCAUCGGUAUAAUACGCCGGUGCCCUGACGGUACCCU